rnacentral:rRNA from 1 species
GCCUACCGGAGCCCCCCGCAGCGACUCUAAAGAAGUGCCCCAGUCGGCCCCGAUAUGCGGGUCGGCGACGCCGUCAAUCUGCUCUGGGAGCGUCGUACGCGACCCUACCAGAAGCCCCCCUCGGGGGUCCACAGAUCAAACGACAGCGGCCGCCCCGGGCGGUUGAGAUAUGACCGGCCCCGGCCUUCAUCGG